rnacentral:lncRNA from 1 species
UGACAAUGAAUAAAUAUCAUAAGAAUCUAGGAGUGAGAUGAGUUGUGUGGCUGAAAGUAAUUGUCUCGUAUCCAAACCGCCCUAUAAAAUAACCCUUUUACCCAAUCGGUGUUCCUAUUUUUUUCUCAAUUCUUAUUCUCCCUCAAAUCCUUGCACUUCUUCUUCUCCUUUCCCCUUUUCCACUGUUAUUAGGUAUUCUCGCUAUUCCCUGUUUCCACCUUUUCUUUUUAAAAUUAGUUUCUUAUUUUGAUUGAUCUAUCUUCUGCAUAUUCUUUUCAUAUUUAGGUUUUAGUUUUUAGUUUUUAGAUUUCUCUGCAUAACGAUAAUACAUAACAAUAACUGACCAAGUUUAUAACUUUAACCCUUCGACCUUUUUUGUGAUUUUAAUUUUUUCUUUAAUACCAUCCUAUUAGUUCUUAUAUCAGGUGUUUAUUGUAUCAAUUUAGCAUAAUGAUAUAUUUUAGGGUUUUGAAGAGUAUUAUGCUGUAUUUGCACUUUGCAGCAUAAUUUAUGUUCAAUUUUGUUUUAAUUGGCGGUUCAAUUUAUUUACUCGUUUUUAAUUAAUCUUAAUGCAACUUUUACUUGGAUCUUUAUUCUGUCAGCUCCCUAUAGCUUAUAGGUGAACGUAAUAUCUUGUGAUUCCAUUAUCUUCUUUUUGAUCAGUUUGUUGGGUUUGUAAGUUCAAUCACUGUUAUUUCCUUUCUAGAAGUCUCUACUUUUGGGUUAGGAGCAGGGUAGGUUUUUUAUUCUCUAGUUUCAUGGAUCGUUGCAGCCUUGAGUAACAUAGAAGGUCCUAUUUGAUUAUAGAGUCUUAAGUAAUGAACUUUUCUGUGAUUAAGUCCAUUUGAACAGUAGUGAUGUAAUGAGUGCAUAUAUAUAGUACCAAAUUCCAUGUCCAUGUGUAAAUGAUUAGUGUUUCUAGUUUGUGAGGUGGAGUGCGUAUAAGGAUUAGAUAAUUCAUAUUUGAAAAGAAUAUGACUGUGGCCUCAUGUAAUUGUUGUUGUUAAAGUCUUAGUGUCUAUUUGCAAGUUGGAUAUUGGAGAGCAACGGAGGGAAGGGAAAGGCUGCGAAGCCAUGAAAUAUACUUGUAAGAUGACUCUCAAAUCCUCCCUUUCCUUUCCCUCUAAAAAUUAACUCACAAACAGAGCUUAGAGAUAUAAAACCAUCCCCAAGACUUCACUUUGCAGCCUAAACUUUUAGAAGAGUUGGACCUUGACAAUGUUUUUUCAUUUGGCAUCAUUAUAUUUAUGCUGUCUUUUUUAUUUCCUGUUUGUAAAACAAUUUCUAUUUAUUAUAGGUUGAUUUAUAUUUUAACAUAUAUUAGGAACUAGUUGUGAGUAAAAUUUAAAUCUUCAGGGAUUUUGAUUGUUAUAUAUCAUCUGACCUGAAGUAUAUUUGAUUUUUUUCCAGUAUUGAGUGGUUGAUUAGAUCAGUAGGCCUUCAUCACAACUCACGUAACCAAGGAAAAUUUCAUGUCUGAAUUCGACACGAACAUCCCAACUGCUUUUGGUGAGUGUUAAGUCUCUGUGUUCAAACAUUUUUGUGGUAUCCAGAUUUCUUAACCACAAUUUAUGAUUGGUUUCUGAUGUGGU